GAGCAUACUCACCGUGAGAGGUUUACUUCAAACAUUGUUUGUAUAUGUUUGUAUCGGGUUUGGUUUGCACCGUCACGGGGAUUCCGCACCCGUUACCGUGUUUGUGAUAAACAAGGAUAAGGUUUUCGUUAUCGAUCCACCGGAAAAACGGGACCUACAAUUGGUAUCAGAGCUUUGGCUCUAAUCCUUGUUUAAAACCAAACGAGUUUCGGUUUUUAUCAAGUUUGUUCUUGAAAAGUUCAUAUUUUUUUUGAAAAAAGUGGCUAAAAUCUGUUAGAUCUUGGUUGUUUGCUAAAAGUUUUAUCAAAAACCUUGUUGUCUUGAUUGUUCACGUUGAAAAACCGGGUUUUUAGUAAAAGUUUUAAGCGAAUUCGGGUUUCGGAAAAUUGUUCGGUGACCGGAAUCUUCAAACCUUCGUCGUGUUCUUCACUAAUAUUCAAAGUGUUCUUCAUUAUUUCAACUUUUUGAUCUUUUGUAAGUUCACUGUAUUAGUUGUUGGUGUUUUUAA
rnacentral:lncRNA from 1 species